rnacentral:rRNA from 3 species
UAGGGAAUCUUCCGCAAUGGACGAAAGUCUGACGGAGCAACGCCGCGUGAGUGAUGAAGGUUUUCGGAUCGUAAAGCUCUGUUGUUAGGGAAGAACAAGUACCGUUCGAAUAGGGCGGUACCUUGACGGUACCUAACCAGAAAGCCACGGCUAACUACGUG